rnacentral:misc_RNA from 1 species
UCUCCGUUGGUGAACCAGCGGAGGGAUCAUUAUCGAGUUUAUAACUCCCAAACCCUAUGUGAACUUACCACUUGUUGCUUCGGCGCGCGCUUCGGCGCCGCCGAGGACUCUUAAACUCUUUGUUUUUAUAAGCAUUUCUGAGUGGCCGAAAGGCAAAAUACAAAUGAAUCAAAACUUUCAACAACGGAUCUCUUGGUUCUG